rnacentral:rRNA from 1 species
AGUGAACGCUGGCGGUAGGCCUAACACAUGCAAGUCGAACGGCAGCACAGUAAGAGCUUGCUCUUACGGGUGGCGAGUGGCGGACGGGUGAGGAAUACAUCGGAAUCUACUUUUUCGUGGGGGAUAACGUAGGGAAACUUACGCUAAUACCGCAUACGACCUACGGGUGAAAGCAGGGGAUCUUCGGACCUUGCGCGAUUGAAUGAGCCGAUGUCGGAUUAGCUAGUUGGCGGGGUAAAGGCCCACCAAGGCGACGAUCCGUAGCUGGUCUGAGAGGAUGAUCAGCCACACUGGAACUGAGACACGGUCCAGACUCCUACGGGAGGCAGCAGUGGGGAAUAUUGGACAAUGGGCGCAAGCCUGAUCCAGCCAUACCGCGUGAGUGAAGAAGGCCUUCGGGUUGUAAAGCCCUUUUGUUGGGAUAGAAAAGCAGCAGGUUAAUACCCCGCUGUUCUGACGGUACCCAAAGAAUAAGCACCGGCUAACUUCGUG